rnacentral:rRNA from 1 species
AAUUUAAACAGAGUAAAAAGUACGUGAACUGCUUAGAGGUUAAACCCGAUGAAGUAAAUAUCCAGUAUGAGAAAGUCAUUAUUAUGAGUAUAUUAUUUUAUAAUUAGAUAAUAGUGUGCAUUUUUUUCAUAAAAAGGACAUUGUAAUCUGUUAAUACAAUAAUAUAUAUUCUUUUAUAUAUUAUUUUUAUCAUAAAGAGUAGCUAAUAAGUUUACAUAUAAAUUAAUUAAUUUAUUAAUUAAUAUGAAUUUCUAGAUAAAUAGUUAACAGUAUUAAAAUAUAUAAUAAUUUACAUAAUUUUUUAUGUUUUAUAUAUAAUAUGUACAUGUACAUAUAUAUGUUUUUGCAUUUAUAUUAUAACAAUGCUACCCGUUUAGGAUUCUUUAUUUGCAUU